rnacentral:rRNA from 1 species
GACGAACGCUGGCGGCGCGCCUAACACAUGCAAGUCGAACGAGAGAUGAGGAGCUUGCUCUUCAAAUCGAGUGGCGAACGGGUGAGUAACGCGUGAGGAACCUGCCUCAAAGAGGGGGACAACAGUUGGAAACGACUGCUAAUACCGCAUAAGCCCACGGCUCGGCAUCGAGCAGAGGGAAAAGGAGCAAUCCGCUUUGAGAUGGCCUCGCGUCCGAUUAGCUAGUUGGUGAGGUAACGGCCCACCAAGGCGACGAUCGGUAGCCGGACUGAGAGGUUGAACGGCCACAUUGGGACUGAGACGCGGCCCAGACUCCUACGGGAGGCAGCAGUGGGGAAUAUUGCACAAUGGGGGAAACCCUGAUGCAGCGACGCCGCGUGGAGGAAGAAGGUCUUCGGAUUGUAAACUCCUGUUGUUGAGGAAGAUAAUGACGGUACUCAACAAGGAAGUGACGGCUAACUACGUGCCAGCAGCCGCGGUAAAACGUAGGUCACAAGCGUUGUCCGGAAUUACUGGGUGUAAAGGGAGCGCAGGCGGGAGAACAAGUUGGAAGUGAAAUCCAUGGGCUCAACCCAUGAACUGCUUUCAAAACUGUUUUUCUUGAGUAGUGCAGAGGUAGGCGGAAUUCCCGGUGUAGCGGUGGAAUGCGUAGAUAUCGGGAGGAACACCAGUGGCGAAGGCGGCCUACUGGGCACCAACUGACGCUGAGGCUCGAAAGUGUGGGUAGCAGACAGGAUUAGAUACCCUGGUAGUCCACACCGUAAACGAUGAUUACUAGGUGUUGGAGGAUUGACCCCUUCAGUGCCGCAGUUAACACAAUAAGUAAUCCACCUGGGGAGUACGACCGCAAGGUUGAAACUCAAAGGAAUUGACGGGGGCCCGCACAAGCAGUGGAGUAUGUGGUUUAAUUCGACGCAACGCGAAGAACCUUACCAAGUCUUGACAUCCCUUGACGAUGCUGGAAACAGUAUUUCUCUUCGGAGCAAGGAGACAGGUGGUGCAUGGUUGUCGUCAGCUCGUGUCGUGAGAUGUUGGGUUAAGUCCCGCAACGAGCGCAACCCUUAUGGUCAGUUACUACGCAAGAGGACUCUGGCCAGACUGCCGUUGACAAAACGGAGGAAGGUGGGGAUGACGUCAAAUCAUCAUGCCCUUUAUGACUUGGGCUACACACGUACUACAAUGGCGUUAAACAAAGAGAAGCAAGACCGCGAGGUGGAGCAAAACUCAGAAACAACGUCCCAGUUCGGACUGCAGGCUGCAACUCGCCUGCACGAAGUUCGGAAUUGCUAGUAAUCGUGGAUCAGCGUGCCACGGUGAAUACGUUCCCGGGCCU